GGCAAAGUGGCCGAGUGGUUAAGGCGUUGUGUUUAGGUCUUUGUCCCCGCAAGGGGGUAUGACUUUCCGCAAUCCGAAAGGGCGCGAGUUCGAAUCUCGUCUUUGUCA